UACGAAGGGGGCUAGCGUUGUUCGGAAUUACUGGGCGUAAAGGGCGCGUAGGUGGCGUGUCAAGUCAGGCGUGAAAGCCCCGGGCUCAACCUGGGAACCGCGCUUGAGACUGGCAUGCUCGAGUUCGGGAGAGGAUGGUGGAAUUCCCAGUGUAGAGGUGAAAUUCGUAGAUAUUGGGAAGAACACCGAUGGCGAAGGCAGCCAUCUGGACCGACACUGACGCUGAGGCGCGAAAGCGUGGGGAGCAAACAGG
rnacentral:rRNA from 1 species